GAGAAUGAGAGUUCUACCAUUGAACUGAAUGACUCCUUUAAUGAGACCAGCAUGCGUUUUGUGCGGCGCAUCCAGGAAUCUGAGGUGAAGGAGGCUUUAAAGAGGAUGAAAGGAGGCAAGGCGAUGGGCCCUGAUUGUAUCCCCAUUGAGGUGUGGAAAGGUCUCGGGGACGUAGCGAUAGUAUGGCUAACCAAGCUUUUCAACCUCAUUUUUCGGGCAAACAAGAUGCCAGAAGAAUGGAGACGGAGUAUAUUAGUACCAAUCUUCAAGAACAAGGGGGAUGUUCAGAGUUGUACUAAUUACCGCGGAAUUAAGCUGAUGAGCCAUACAAUGAAGCUAUGGGAGAGAGUCAUUGAGCACCGCUUAAGAAGAAUGACAAGCGUGGCCAAAAAUCAGUUUGGUUUCAUGCCUGGGAGGUCGACCAUGGAAGCCAUUUUCUUGGUACGACAACUUAUGGAGAGAUAUAGGGAGCAUAAGAAGGACUUGCAUAUGGUGUUCAUUGACUUGGAGAAGGCCUAUGAUAAGAUACCGCGGAAUGUCAUGUGGUGGGCCUUGGAGAAACACAAAGUCCCAGCAAAGUACAUUACCCUCAUCAAGGACAUGUACAAUAAUGUUGUGACAAGUGUUCGAACAAGUGAUGUCGACACCGAUGACUUCCCGAUUAAGAUAGGACUGCAUCAGGGGUCAGCUUUGAGCCCUUAUCUUUUUGCAUUGGUGAUGGAUGAGGUCACAAGGGGUAUACAAGGAGAUAUCCCAUGGUGUAUGUUCUUUGCGGAUGAUGUGGUGCUAGUUGACGAUAGUCGGAUGGGGGUAAAUAGGAAGUUAGAGUUAUGGAGACAAACCUUGGAAUCGAAAGGGUUUAGGCUUAGUAGAACUAAAACCGAGUACAUGAUGUGCGGUUUCAGUACUACUAGCUGUGAGGAGGAGGAGGUUAGCCUUGAUGGCCAGGUGGUACCUCGGAAGGACACCUUUCGGUAUUUGGGGUCAAUGUUGCAGGAGGAUGGGGGUAUUGAUGAAGAUGUGAACCAUCGAAUCAAAGCCGGAUGGAUGAAGUGGCGCCAAGCUUCUGGCAUUCUCUGUGACAAGAGAGUGCCACAAAAGCUAAAAGGCAAGUUCUACAGGACGGCGGUUCGACCCGCAAUGUUGUAUGGCGCGGAGUGUUGGCCGACUAAAAGGCAACAUGUUCAACAGUUAGGUGUGGCGGAGAUGCGUAUGUUGAGAUGGAUGUGUGGCCACACGAGGAAGGAUCGAGUCCGGAAUGAUGAUAUACGA
rnacentral:rRNA from 1 species